rnacentral:lncRNA from 1 species
CCAUUGCUCUGUGUGUGACACCUUAAUAAUUCCAUAUCGAAUAGUUAUGGUUAGAUAUGGGGCUAUAUAAGUUUGAUUAGGUUAGACAUAAUAACUGAAUUUAAAUAUUUUGGGCCGGUGAUUUGGGCCAACGAAUUAUUAUUGCUAGUGGGUCAGAUCGUUACAUUUGGUAUCAGAGUCAGUUUACCAGCCGGAAGUGUGAGAUCCAUCUUGGCUGAGCCAGGGUCGGAAUGACAGAUUAAGUCAAGGUGACCAACCGUCCCUAAAGCAAGUGGCAAAGGGCUUGGUGGUUUGUCCCCGAGACCCAAGUUCGGAUCCUAGUUGAUUCACAUUUCCAGCUAAGUUUAUUUCUAAAUGAAAUAAACGAAGCGGGUAGCGUGCUACCUAUCUCUCUAAAAAAAAAAAAAGACAGAUUAAGUAAGGGUGGAAGUGUGAGAUGAGUCUUAGGUGAGCCAGAGUUGGUGAAUAAUAGAAAAUGUAAGAUGAGUCUUGGCCGAGCCAGACUUAGAUGUGGAAAUAUAUAAGUUUGAUUAGGCUAGAUGUAAUAAUUGUGCUUAUGCAUUUUAAACCGUUAUGCUAGAAGUCGGGAUAUAUAAGUUCGAUUUAAAAAAUACAUAAUAAACUUUAGGAUAAAAAUAAAACUAAGAUGUAACAGCGAACCGUUCGUUAUGCUAGAUGUGGGGAUUUAUAAGUUUGAUUAAAAAAAUACACAACAAAUUUUUGGAUGAAAGUAAAACAAAGAUGUAACAGCAAGCAGCUCCCCAGUGAGGCAUUGUUGGAAAGCUCCCACUUAAGUUUUGUUUAAGACCCACCAUUAAAUAUGAUAGUAAAGUAAUAUGUUUUGUGACCCGUAAAGUAGUUAAUUGCACAUUGUAUGUUAAUAAAAUACUAUAUAUUACCGUCUCAUAGUUUGUAAUAAAUAAUACAUAUUCUCCUAUUUAAUGGUUUAAAGUGUAUGAUUUUUAUACCCUGUGUUUUAUUUUUCUCUUUUUAUAAUUCACUUUAUUAAUUUUUUUUUCUAAAUUAGUGAUAAAGUUAAAACUAAAGAAUACUAAAAUAAAUAUUCGAUAAACUAUAGAUGAAUAUUUGAAGUUUUUUGUAUAUAAUUUAACAAAAAUUAAUGAAGGAGCUGACAAAAAGAAAACUAUAAAGUACUAAAAUAAAAAAGUGCAAAAUUACAGAAAUAAUAUUUGAAGUUUACCCUAAAAUAAAAAUAGAAUCACGUUAUAAUCAAAACAAGUUUUUAAAUUACAUAGUAGC